rnacentral:rRNA from 1 species
GACGAACGCUGGCGGCGUGCUUAACACAUGCAAGUCGAACGGUGAAGCGCCUUCCUUUUUGGUGGGUGUGGAUGAGUGGCGAACGGGUGAGUAACACGUGAGUAACCUGCCCCCUCCUUCUGGAUAACCGCAUGAAAGUGUGGCUAAUACGGGAUAUUCUGGGUCUGUCGCAUGAUGGGUCUGGGAAAGAUAUUGUUUCGGUUGGGGAUGGGCUCGCGGCCUAUCAGCUUGUUGGUGGGGUGAUGGCCUACCAAGGCGGUGACGAGUAGCCGGCCUGAGAGGGUGGACGGUCACACUGGGGAGGAGAGGCGGAGCAGACUACUAGGGGAGGCAGCAGGGGGGAAUAUGGCACAAGGGGCGGAAGCAUGAUGCAGCGACGCGGCGUGGGGGAUGGAGGCCGUCGGGUUGUGAACCUCUAUCGCCAGAGAAGCAGGGCUGCCUCGUGUGUGGGUGGGUUGACGGUAGCUGGAUAAGAAGCGCCGGCUAACUACGUG